rnacentral:rRNA from 1 species
CCCUUAGAUGUCCUGGGCCGCACGCGCGCUACACUGAUGCAUUCAACGAGUUUUACCUUGGCCGAGAGGCCUGGGCAAUCUUUUGAACCUGCAUCGUGAUAGGGAUAGAUUAUUGCAAUUAUUAAUCUUGAACGAGGAAUUCCUAGUAAACGCAGAUCAUCAAUCUGCACUGAUUACGUCCCUGCCCUUUGUACACACCGCCCGUCGCACCUACCGAUUGAAUGGUCCGGUGAAGCCUCGGGAUUGUGGCGAGUUCCCUUUAUUGGGAGUUUGUCGCGAGAACUUGUCUAAACCUUAUCAUUUAGAGGAAGGUGAAGUCGUAACA